GUGUCCAUUCGAAUCCUCAAUCUCUAUUGUGAACUCUGAUAACUUUUUCCAAUCAAUUGGACACUCCUAGCCCUUUGUAUGUGGCCAACCCUAGCUCACGCUACAGACAAGUGUUGUUGAAUCUGUUUAGUUUUCUCGACUCAUGUUUUGGCAGAUAUUUUGUGUCCAUUCGAAUCCUCAAUAUCUAAUGUGAUGCCUCAUACUGUUUCCACCCAAAUUGAAAAUUUCUAGCCUUGGAUGUGGCCAACCCUAGCUCACGGUACAGACGAGAAUUGUUGAAUCAGUUCAAUUUUUUUGACUCAUGUUUUGGCAGAUCUUUUGUGUCCAUUCGAAUCCUCAAUCUCUAAUGUGAACUCUCAUACUUUUUCCAAUCAAAUUGGACACUCCUAGCCCUGUAUGUGGCCAACCCUAGCUCACGCUACAGACAAGUGUUGUUGAAUCAGUUUAGUUUUCUUGAUUCAUGUUUUGGCAGAUAUUUUGUGUCCAUUCAAAUCCUCAAUAUCUAAUGUGAAGCCUCAUACUUUUUCCAUUCAAAUUGGAAACUUCUAGCGUUUGAUGUGGCC
rnacentral:lncRNA from 1 species